rnacentral:rRNA from 1 species
AUUGAACGCUGGCGGCAGGCCUAACACAUGCAAGUCGAACGGAGCGGCGGACGGGGGAGUAAGGCCGAGGAAGUUGCCUGUGAGUGGGGGAUAACGCACGGAAACGGGACCUGAUGACGCAUACUAGCAGAUGAGCUUCGGUUGGAUUAGCUUGAUGGUGGGGUAAAGGACUACCAAGGCGACGAUCCGUAACUGGACUGAGUGGAUGAUCAGUCACACUGGAACUGAGACACGGACCAGACUCCUACGGGAGGCAGCAGUGGGGAAUAUUGGGCAAUGGGCGAAAGCCUGACCCAGCCAUGCCGCGUGUGUGAAGAAGGUCUUCGGAUUGUAAAGCUCUGUAAGUAGAGAGGCGUUACCAACAGAAUAAGCACCGGCUAACUCCGUGCCAGCAGCCGCGGUAAUAC